GCAUGUAUGAAAUGGGAUAACUUUGGGGAGAAGGGUUUCUCAAUACCUCGGAUGAGGGCAAGGACAAGAAAUUCUUGCUGGCAGUCAGGGAGAGAAAGAAACUGAAGACUCUUGACUGCCUUCCAGUGAUAAAGACAUUAAUAACGAGUAACACGCUAAUUGCUAAGCUACUUGACACACCAGCUCACAGAUUGGUAUGGCCUCUAUUAAACACACACACACACACAUUCACACACACACAAACCCUCUGAUUCAGGCCUUUAAUCAACAUGCUGAAAAAGAGAGCACAUUAUAGCAGCAGUGGGGUCAGAAAACAGAAAGAGACCUCACACCACUUCAAGAGUUUGAUGAACACCCGAUAAUGACAAAAUAAAUAGGAUUCGGAUACA